ensembl:lncRNA
CAUAGCGGGUGGGGGAGAGGCCGUGAAGGCUCUCGCAGGACAGCAGGGCUUUGAAUUUUAUUCCAACUUUCUGAGUGCAGACUCUGAGGGACAUUUUCAUCAGCAUGCUGGGCUGGUCCAAUACUUUGGCCACCUGAUCAGAUGUGAAGAGCUGACUCAUUGGAAAAGACCCUGAUGCUGGGAAAGACAGGGCAGGAGGAGAAGGGGGCGACAGAGGAUGAGAUGGUUGGAUGGCAUCACCGACUCAAUGGACACGGGUUUGAACAAAUGCUGGGAGAAGGACAGGGAAGUCUGGUGCGCUGCAGUUCGUGGGGUCACGAAGAGUACGACUUGGAGACUGAACAACAACCACAAUAAUCAGUGAUGUUGAGCAUCUUUUUCCUGUGCCUGCUGCCCAUCUCACAACUCUGAUGCAGGCAGGGGAGAUAUGAUCGUCUGCAUUGUUUAGAUCGGGGACUCUGAAAUUCGAGGCAACACACCAAAGGGCACAAGCCCUCAGCUCUUUCCUCUCCCGCGUGUUCUCCCUGCUGCGGUGUUGGGCAAUUGAAGAUGCUCAGUGAAGGCAGACUACCCAACAAGCCUCUUCUUCCAGCAUGUAAUCUGCCAGAGGGCAGGCCCUGGAGCCCUCUCCUCCGCCCUGGCAUCCAUUCAGUUUCCUGGUGAUGCGGCCACCGAAAGUCAUCCAUCAGCAUUUUGUCACAUUGAGCCCAGAGAAAGCUUCCAUUUCACAAAUGCACGAUGACAUUGUAAGCAGUUGAGUAAAUUGGCCUGGUUUCCUUGCAGAAAAAUAAGCAUAUUCUGAAAUGAUAGAGGCUCCCCGUCAGUAAGAGGAAUUAUCUUACAUCUCCGUGGUUGGUGUUGUUGCCGCAGCUCAUUUGCCUGACCCAAAGCACAGCAGUUUCUUUUUCACAAGCCAUUCCAGUUGGAAAGUAAACAGGGGUGUUGGGGGUCGCCUUUCUGUGGGGCUCUGCUCCAGAUUGGGAUGUCAGUUAUGCCUGUGGCUUCCCCACAGAGUGAGAUGAGAAGCAGAUGAAAACUGGGAUGAGCUGCAGUUGUGCUGUUUGGAGCAAGGAGCAGCAGACGUGGUAAAGCGUGGACUGAGUAUUGUUUCAGUCUAGCAUCCCAGCCACCUCCAGUGAAGACAGCAGGAGAGGGAGCCAUGCUACCACCAGAAGGCAUUGGAGCCACCGGAUUGGCCCAAGGGAUCCGUAAGCCUCUCUGGACUCAUGACUGCAAGAACAUGAUGAAGAGAUCCAAAUCUCAGUUUACCCAGUGUGAUGGUUGUGAUGUAGGCCAGUACUCUGCAGACAGAUGGCAUAAACAGGAGCACCUGGCAAAGACUUCACCAGAAAGUUUACGUUUAAACAUGUACCGAAGGCUGAGCGGAAGUUUACUGUGCAGAGCAAGGGAUCUUGAGUUCUGGGGAAUCAAGCUUCAUGGGCCAGUCACUCUCCAAACCUCAGUUUUCUCAUCUGAAAAAAUGUGCCUCCUGAGAAGACAAACUGAAGCUCGCCUUGCCACUUUGUAUGCACCAGACCUCCACACCCGAGGCUUAUCACAAGCAAUUAUCUUACCCAAAUAAAAAAUGAAAAUGGAAAAGUUAAAUAAAUAACAGGACAUCUUGAUGGAAUCGC